ACACCCUGAGAGACAGAACCACAGCGGAUCAAAUGUUAAACCAGGUUUAAUCUGGGCCUCGGAUUGAAGAAUUGUUUUAUAUUAUCUCUUUAACAAAAACUAAAACUGUCCAAUAUGAUUUUAUACGUGACACAAACAACAAAACAUCAUGACAACAAUAGAACACAACAUUGUCUGAGACGUGGAACAACGUGACAAACCUCGACCCGCUGCUGGUUCUCACUCCAGAAGAAAUGGUCAACAUGGAGAUUAUCUCGGGGCCGACAGGUAGAAGAACUCGAUCAGGAGGCCGAGGAACACUCGUCAUGCAAAUGUGUUCCCACACAGUCCUGAGAACAGGUCUCAUCAGGACUGUGUGGGUGAACCAGGGAUGCUCGAGCCUUUAACACUGAUCAUAUAGGAAGGAUGACGCAAAAACUACUCAACAAUUUUCCACAAAAUUUGCUGAAAGGAUGAGAAGUGGGUAAAAAAAGACCUCAUAUUAUUUUUGGGGCAGAACCAGAACUUGUUUUCGUACUUUAUUUUAAAACAUAAGGAGACAGCUGGGCCUCGGCUGCUGGGACAUCAUGAACCAGUGAUAAAGACUUAAAGUCGCUUAGUGGAUCAAAGGUUAUCAAAAGUAAAAAUGUGAUAUAAAACUUUCCCCUGUUCAAGACUCUGUUUUUUCAUUUGUUCAAAAAUGAAAUUUUUGUUUUAACAAAACAGCCGAUGUGUCUGGAAACCUCUGUUUAGUCUCUUUGAGGGACAGGAACCCAGAAGGAACCAAGAAGAAUUGGUGACCUUAUAAAGUCCAGGGAAUUUAGGGUAAGACUUCAGUGAUGAGACACUGUCGACUACUGGACGAGCCAGUUUUCAUCUGAGAGACGAAGGUUUGUAUUCUUUAUGAGCAGUUCACUGGUGUUAAUGACCACAUCUGUGGGGAUCCACUCUAUAAACCCCACUAGGACAACAGGCCUCCAUGUCAAAUAACAUCAUAAAACCCGAUUUCAAGGUAUUACAGCUGCGAUCGAACAGUAAAACAAACCCAGACGAGUAAAUAUGACAUCACUUCGCCCCGACGUGUUCCCGACAGGACCGGGUCGGUCACGGCAGCGCGGACUUACCGAAUCCUCUCGGCCAAGAGUGUUUCCAUGAGCUCGCCUCUGAUGCCUGGACCACAGAAAUAGAGAAAGAACACAGAGGAAGAGAUUUACUGAGUGUUAGAAUGAGAGCAAGGUUGUAGUAGCCAUCAGUGUCUAUGUGAAUACUGUAAUUCGGUAUUUUAAAUAAAACCUUUUAACUCUUGUGAAACGUAUUUGUAGAAAAUGGAGCCCGACCAAGAGACACACACCUUUCU